rnacentral:rRNA from 1 species
GUCCUUGCCGUAAACGAUGUAUACUUGAUGUAGCUAGGCUCAACCCUGGCUGUGUCGGAGCUAACGCGAUAAGUAUACCGCCUGAGGAGUACGCUCGCAAGGGUGAAACUCAAAAGAAUUGACGGGGGCCCGCACAAGCAGUGGAGCAUGUGGUUUAAUUCGAUGCAACGCGAAGAACCUUACCUGGGCUCGAAAUGCAGAGGGCGACUACAGAAAUGUAGUUUUCCGUAAGGACUUCUGUAUAGGUGCUGCAUGGCUGUCGU